rnacentral:tRNA from 1 species
GGGGAAUUAGCUUAAUGGCAUAAGCACCUGCCUUACAAGCAGGCGGUUGUGAGUUCGAUCCCCG